ACUAAGAUCUCCUCUGCAGAAAGUUGAAAUUUAAUGACAGAUUUUGUGAGUUAUCUUAGAUUAAUUCGGACUAUUUUGAGGAAAUGUAUACAGGGUACGAUGCCAAAAUUUCUGUCCCCUGUUAGGGACAGAAAACAGUCAGGAGAAACGACCCGUCAAAGAAGGAAAGAAUCUACAAGAUUGGCACCAGGUGAAAGGAUUCAAAGAGAACAUUACUAUGGAUGAAAAAACUGCUCAUGGUACAAUAAGAGUGACUCAAGACGGAAAGACAGCUCAUUACAUCAAAGA